GACGAACGCUGGCGGCGUGCUUAACACAUGCAAGUCGAACGGAAAGGCCUGCUUUCCCUUGUGGAUUGCGGGUACUCGAGUGGCGAACGGGUGAGUAACACGUGAGUGAUCUGCCCCCAACUUGGGUAUAAGCCUGGGAAACUGGGUCUAAUUCCCGAUAGGACUGCAGGGUGGUGCCUGUGGUGGAAAACGAUUUUCUAGUGGUUGGGGAUGAGCUCGCGGCCUAUCAGCUUGUUGGUGGGGUAAUGGCCUACCAAGGCGGCGACGGGUAGCCGGCCUGAGAGGGUGGACCGCCACAUUGGGACUGAGAUACGGCCCAGACUCCGACGGGAGGCAGCAGUGGGGAAUAUUGCACGAUGGGCGGAAGCCUGAUGCAGCGACGCCGCGUGGGGGAUGACGGCCUUCGGGUUGUAAACUCCUUUCGACCGCGAGGAAGCCACCUGGUUGGAAGGGUGGUGACGGUAGUGGUAGAAGAAGCACCGGCUAACUACGUG
rnacentral:rRNA from 1 species